GAUAAUACAAUUUAAUUUUAAAUAAUUUUAGUUUUUUUUUGUUUAAGUAUUUAAAAUUUUGAAUUAUUGGGUGAAAUUUUAAUUUGAAAUUUAUAUUUAAAUUUAUUAAAUAAUCUAAGAAAUUUUUAUAUAAACUAGGAUUAGAUACCCUAUUAUAGAAAGGUAAAUUUAGAAGAUUUAUUAGUAAAAGUUAUUUUCUAGAAAAUAAAAGAAUUUGGCGGUAUUUUAUUCUUUUCAGAGAAACCUGUUCUGUAAUUGAUAUUCCACGAUUAAAGUGAUUUUUUUUUAGUUUUCAUAUCGUCGUUUAUAAAUAUUUUUUAAAAAUUUAAUAUUUAAUUUUUAUUUUAUAUAAAAUGUCAGAUCAAGAUGUAGCGUAUAAAAAAAUAGAAAUGGGUUGCUGUUUAAAUUAGAUUUGGUAAUGAUUAUUUAAAAUUUCAUUAAGUAGGAUUUGAAAGUAAAUUUAAAUAUAUAUUUAAAUUGAUUAAAGCUCUGAGAUGCGUACAUAUUGCCCGUCGCUUUUAUUAUAAAAUAAAAUAAGUCGUAACAGAGUAGCCCUACCGGAAGGUAGGGCUAGAUUGAGUUAUAGCUUAAAGUAAAGCAUUUUAUUUACAUUAAAAAGUAAAUUGUAGAGAUCAGUUUGACUUGAAUAGGAAAUUUUAUUUAAAUAUAAAAUUUAUUUAGUUUUGAAAAAAGUAAUUUUUUUUAGUAGUAUAUUUGGAAAAUUUAAAUUUAUGAUAGAUAAGUAGGUAUUGUGAGAGAAUGAUUGAUUAUUUUAUAAAGAAUAAUUUAAUUUU
rnacentral:rRNA from 1 species